UUUUGAGCAGCAAGUCCCAAGAUCAAGAAAUCAGAAGGAACUAAUACUUUAACUAAUUAGUAGUAAUGAAAAUUUACUAGACAUCAAUGACAAAUUUACAAGGCAAAUUUAUUUCCAAAGUACAUUCAUAUAUCACAGUCUUUGCUACAGCAGUGUGUUCCUCUCAAGUCACCCACUCGUUCCUCCAGGGGUCAUUGGAGAGUUAUUAUUUUAAGUCUAGUUCCCAGGUAUGACUUCCAAUGCAGUGAAAGCUUCUACUGAGACUGUCUAAAACAUCUCUUGAAUCAUCUGCCUAGAACACAGCAAGAACCAGGAAAUGAGCUGACAAGACUGAGCAAAAGAGGCAGCAUCAAGCUGAUGAACUGAGGCGUGGGCAUUUUACUCAUGGGAAAGGCCCUCGGAACCCACGCUGAGCAUGCGCUGAAAACAAGUGUGAUCAGUGGGUUCCAAACACCCAGCAGAUACAUGUGAGGGUGAUCUGGCUGUGACUUCUGUCACCCCCUUGAUUACCAGGGUUGAUUCAGUUGAUCUGGCUGGCUAGGUGGGUGUCCCUUUCCCCACUUACUGCUCCAUGUGUGUCCCUCCUGAAUCUGUGCGCUUGGUUGAAGAGGAUGACCAUCCCGGAUAGAGGAGGACCAGUCUUUGGUCAAGGGUAUACAAGUAGCUGUGCCCGCUUGCUAGAACCUCCAAACAAGCUCUCAAGGUCCAAACAUCCAGCAGAUAAUUAGCAAUGGAUUAGAAAAGGGAGCUGGGAAGGUGGAAGGAAGCAGAAACAGUGAGCCCCCGAAUGAAAGAGACAGAAAAACUGAAACCUCAGAAGAGAGCAGUGUGGGGCUAAUGAACCUAGAGGCAAAGGGCCCUACCCAUCAACAGCCCCCAUGAAGGUAGUCACUGGGGGGCCUGAGGAUGCACCAUCAGGGAGAAGUUCAGUUCAAUGUAAUCUGUGGAAGAAAGCAGAGAGCACAGCCUGUCAUGGAGAAGGAUUUCCAUUCAAAACCAUAGAUGUCAUAGAAGUUUCGAUGCUUAAAAGACCUGUGAUUGUCUAGAAAGCUUGGCUUUUCCCAAAGGAUUCUGUGAGGCUGAAGUGUUACCAGGUGAUUAAGGGUCUCACCCUGUCACCCAGGCUAGAGUGCAGUGACACAAUGAUAGCUUAUUGUAACCUCAAACUCCCGGGCUCAAGGGAUCCUCCUGCUUCAGCCUCCCAAGUAGCUAGGAUUACAGGUGAAGAGAAAUGAAGCUAACAUGUUGAAAUGAGUGGCCCCAAGGAUUACCAGAAAAGAAGUUAAUGUUCAGAAAGAGAAAAUAAAAGUUCUCUGUAUUUUAUUCCCCUCAGAGAUAACAAAAGUUGACAUUUUGUUGUAUUUUUCUCUAAGCUUUUUUUUUCCUUUGCUAUAAAUGCAAAAGGCAUCACAAUAUUUGGUAAACAUUUUCCUCUUAUUCAGUAGUUUCUGAAAACAUGAUGUUAAAUAGUUGUGUAACAUUCUCUCAUGCAGAUGUCCCAUAGUUCAUAGUUCAUUUAACUUCUCUUUUCCUGUGGGGUAUUUGAGCUGCUUCCUAUUUGCCUGUGUAAAGAAUCCUGUGAGAAACAUGUUUGCCCCUUCCCUUCCCUUCCCUUCCCUUCCCCUUUCCCUUCCCUUCCCCUUCCCUUCCCUCCUUUCUCUCUCUCUCUCGCUGUCUUACACACUCUCUCUCUUUCUCUCUUUCUUUCUUUCCUUUCUUUCUCUUUCUUCUCUUGCUGUGUCACCCAAGCUGGAGUGCAGUGAUCAUAGCUCACUGCAGCCUUGAACUCUGGCAAAUUAAACAAACAUUUUUUGUAGAGAUAGGUUCUCACUAUGUUGCCCAGGCUGAUCUUGAACUCCUAGCCCCAACUGAUCCUUCUGCCUUGGCCUCCCAAAGUGCUGGGAUUAUACUCAUGAACCACUGCAGCCAGCCUGCAUCACAUCUUUAUAGGCAGAGAGGCCUGAUUUGUCCAGAGAUUGUUGGGCAGUCUAGAGAGGCAGAAAGCUACUAUCAUUAUCGUGGUGAUCUAAAAAUCACCUAAAUGUGCAAAAAGCUCUUCUAAGUGUGGGGCACAAAGAUGGAAAACACAUAUUUUUGACUAUAAAGAGUUAGCAAUUUAGUUACUACUUAGGAGGCAAAGUCUACAUGAAAGAUAAUAAUUAAUACAAGGCAAUAACUAGCCCCAAGGCAUGAAAUGUGGACCAGCACAUGUUGUACAGAGACUUGACACUAAAAACUGUUGAUUUAUUUUUAUUUGCAAGAGCUGAGAGUUUGGGCCACUGAUGAUGUGUGAUCCAAAGUGUGGUGUGGAUUUAUAAUAAAACAGAACUGGUUUCAAC
rnacentral:lncRNA from 1 species